rnacentral:rRNA from 1 species
UAGUCCACGCCGUAAACGAUGAUAACUAGCCGUUGGAAUUUUCAGUGGCGCAGCUAACGCAAUAAGUUAUCCGCCUGGGGAGUACGGCCGCAAGGCUAAAACUCAGAUGAAUUGACGGGGACCCGCACAAGCGGUGGAGCAUGUGGUUUAAUUCGAUGCAACGCGAAAAACCUUACCUACACUUGACAUACUUUGAAUUUUUUAGAGAUAAAAAAGUGCCUUCGGGAACGAAGAUACAGGUGCUGCAUGGCUGUCGUCAGCUCGUGUCGUGAGAUGUUCCGUUAAGUCGGAUAACGAGCGCAACCCUUACCCUUAUUUGCCAGCGAUUCGGUCGGGAACUAUAAGGGGACUGCCGGUGAUAAACCGGAGGAAGGUGAGGACGGCGUCAAGUCAUCAUGGCCCUUACGAGUAGGGGCUACACACGUGCUACAAUGGGAGGAUACAGGGCGGACGCUAAGCCGCGAGGGUGGUGCUAAUCCUAGAAAGUUC